AUUGAACGCUGGCGGCAUGCCUUACACAUGCAAGUCGAACGGUAACAGGUCUUCGGAUGCUGACGAGUGGCGAACGGGUGAGUAAUGCAUCGGAACGUGCCCAGUAGUGGGGGAUAGCCCGGCGAAAGCCGGAUUAAUACCGCAUACGACCUGAGGGUGAAAGGGGGGGAUCGCAAGACCUCUCGCUAUUGGAGCGGCCGAUGUCAGAUUAGCUAGUUGGUGGGGUAAAGGCCUACCAAGGCAACGAUCUGUAGUUGGUCUGAGAGGACGACCAGCCACACUGGGACUGAGACACGGCCCAGACUCCUACAGGAGGCAGCAGUGGGGAAUUUUGGACAAUGGGCGCAAGCCUGAUCCAGCAAUGCCGCGUGCAGGAAGAAGGCCUUCGGGUUGUAAACUGCUUUUGUCAGGGAAGAAAUCUUCUGGGCUAAUACCCUGGGAGGAUGACGGUACCUGAAGAAUAAGCACCGGCUAACUACGUGCCAGCAGCCGCCGCGGUAA
rnacentral:rRNA from 1 species